ACACCCUCAAGCUCUGCUUGGUGUUGGAGCGUCUGUCCCGCCUUCGCGCUGUGGACUCGCCUUAAACGUAUUGGCAGCGGUCCUUGCCCCCUCUCGCGCAGCACAUUGCGCUUCUCGAGGGCGGCUCCGGGCCUGCGACCCAUGAAGAUGACCACCGU
rnacentral:misc_RNA from 1 species